GACAGAGGGUGCAAACGUUGCUCGGAUUUACUGGGCUUAAAGCGCGUGUAGGCGGGCGACUAAGUCGGAUGUGAAAUCCCUGGGCUCAACCUAGGAACUGCAUUCGAAACUGGUCAGCUAGAGUGAUGGAGAGGAAAGCGGAAUUCCCGGUGUAGAGGUGAAAUUCGUAGAUAUCGGGAGGAACACCAGUGGCGAAGGCGGCUUUCUGGACAUUUACUGACGCUGAGACGCGAAAGCGUGGGGAGCAAACAGG
rnacentral:rRNA from 1 species